UACGUAGGGGGCAGGCGUUGUCCGGAUUUAUUGGGCGUAAAGAGCGUGUAGGCGGCCGUACAGGUCAGCUGUGAAAACUCGAGGCUCAACCUCGAGACGUCGGUUGAAACCGUACGGCUAGAGUCCGGAAGAGGAGAGUGGAAUUCCCGGUGUAGCGGUGAAAUGCGCAGAUAUCGGGAAGAACACCCGUGGCGAAGGCGGCUCUCUGGGACGGUACUGACGCUGAGACGCGAAAGCGUGGGGAGCAAACAGG
rnacentral:rRNA from 1 species